GACUGGAUAGCCUAGUGGUAAAGGUGUCACAUUGACACUGCUGAGGUCCCAGGUUCAAAUCCUGGUCUAGUCA
rnacentral:tRNA from 1 species